ACAUUCGUGGUCGAGUGGUUAAGGCAAUGGACUAAAAAUUCAUUGGGGUCUCCCCGCACAGGUUCAAAUCCUGUCGACUGCG